rnacentral:rRNA from 1 species
AAUCAACGCUGGCGGCAUGCCUUACACAUGCAAGUCGAACGGCAGCACGGGAGCAAUCCUGGUGGCGAGUGGCGAACGGGUGAGUAAUAUAUCGGAACGUGCCCAGUCGUGGGGGAUAACGCAGCGAAAGCUGUGCUAAUACCGCAUACGAUCUCUGGAUGAAAGCGGGGGACCGUAAGGCCUCGCGCGAUUGGAGCGGCCGAUAUCAGAUUAGCUAGUUGGUGGGGUAAAGGCCCACCAAGGCGACGAUCUGUAGCUGGUCUGAGAGGACGACCAGCCACACUGGAACUGAGACACGGUCCAGACUCCUACGGGAGGCAGCAGUGGGGAAUUUUGGACAAUGGGCGCAAGCCUGAUCCAGCAAUGCCGCGUGCAGGAUGAAGGCCUUCGGGUUGUAAACUGCUUUUGUACGGAACGAAACGGCGAGCUCUAAUAAAGUUUGCUAAUGACGGUACCGUAAGAAUAAGCACCGGCUAACUACGUGCCAGCCGCCGCCGUAA